UAGGGAAUCUUCGGCAAUGGGGGGAACCCUGACCGAGCAACGCCGCGUGAGUGAAGAAGGUUUUCGGAUCGUAAAGCUCUGUUGUUAAGGAAGAACGAGUGUGAGAAUGGAAAGUUCAUACUGUGACGGUACUUAACCAGAAAGGGACGGCUAACCACGUGCCAGCAGCCGCGGUAAUACGUAGGUCCCGAGCGUUGUCCGGAUUUAUUGGGCGUAAAGCGAGCGCAGGCGGUUAGAUAAGUCUGAUGUGAAAGCCCCCGGCUCAACCGGGGAGGGUCAUUGGAAACUGGUUGACUUGAGUGCAGAAGAGGAGAGUGGAAUUCCAUGUGUAGCGGUGAAAUGCGUAGAUAUAUGGAGGAACACCAGUGGCGAAGGCGACUCUCUGGUCUGUAACUGACGCUGAGGCUCGAAAGCGUGGGUAGCAAACAGG
rnacentral:rRNA from 1 species